rnacentral:rRNA from 1 species
UACGUAGGUGGCAAGCGUUGUCCGGAUUUACUGGGCGUAAAGAGCGCGCAGGCGGUCGUUCAAGUCGCGUGUGAAAGCCCCCGGCUCAACUGGGGAGGGUCACGCGAUACUGAGUCGACUCGAAGGCAGGAGAGGGUAGUGGAAUUCCCGGUGUAGUGGUGAAAUGCGUAGAUAUCGGGAGGAACACCAGUGGCGAAGGCGACUACCUGGCCUGUUCUUGACGCUGAGGCGCGAAAGCUAGGGGAGCAAACGGG